GAUGAACGCUGACGGCGUGCCUAAUACAUGCAAGUCGAGCGAACGGACGAGAAGCUUGCUUCUCUGAUGUUAGCGGCGGACGGGUGAGUAACACGUGGAUAACCUACCUAUAAGACUGGGAUAACUUCGGGAAACCGGAGCUAAUACCGGAUAAUAUUUUGAACCGCAUGGUUAAAAAGUGAAAGACGUUCUUGCUGUCACUUAUAGAUGGAUCCGCGCUGCAUUAGCUAGUUGGUAAGGUAACGGCUUACCAAGGCAACGAUGCAUAGCCGACCUGAGAGAGUGAUCAGCCACACUGGAACUGAGACACGGUCCAGGCUCCUACGGGAGGCAGCAGUAGGGAAUCUUCCGCAAUGGGCGAAAGCCUGACGGAGCAACGCCGCGUGAGUGAUGAAGGUCUUCGGAUCGUAAAACUCUGUUAUUAGGGAAGAACAUAUGUGUAAGUAACUGUGCACAUCUUGACGGUACCUAAUCAGAAAGCCACGGCUAACUACGUG
rnacentral:rRNA from 1 species